ACUUAUAGUUAUGCCACCCUGAACAAGCCCAAUCCUGUCUGAUCUGGGAAAUUAAGCAGGAUUGGGCCUGGUUAGUACUUGGAUGGGAAACCACUUAGGAAGACCAGGUGUAGUAGGUG
rnacentral:rRNA from 1 species